rnacentral:rRNA from 1 species
AGUUGGUAGGGUAACGGCCUACCAAGCCGACGAUGCCUAUGGGUUCUAAAAGGAAGGCCCCACACACUGGUACUGAGACACGGACCAGACUCCUACGGGAGGCAGCAGUGAGGAAUAUUGGUCAAUGGGUGAGAGCCUGAACCAGCCAUGCCGCGUGCAGGAAGUGCCCUUAGGGUGUUAUACUGCUUUAGCAGGGGAAGAAAAAGGCGUACGCGUACGCCCUUGCCGGUACCCUGUCAACAAGCACCGGCUAACUCCGUGCCAGCAGCCGCGGUAAUACGGAGGGUGCCAGCGUUAUCCGGAUUUACUAGGUUUAAAGGGUGUGCAGGCGGACUAACAAGUCGGCUGUGAAAUUUACGGGCUCAACCCGUGACUUGCGGUCGAAACUGUUGGUCUUGAGUGAAGAUGCUGCAGGCGGAAUGUGUGGUGUAGCGGUGAAAUGCAUAGAUACCACCCAGAACCCCGAUUGCGAAGGCAGCUUGCAAAACUUCCACUGACGCUGAUGCACGAAAGCGUGGGUAGCGAACAGGAUUAGAUACCCUGGUAGUCCACGCAGUAAACGAUGACCACUGGCUUUUGGUGAUACACAAUCAGAGGCUGAGCGAAAGCAUUAAGUGGUCCACCUGGGGAUUACGUUCGCAAGAAUGAAACUCAAAGGAAUUGACGGGGGCCCGCACAAGCGGAGGAACAUGUGGUUUAAUUCGAUGAUACGCGAGGAACCUUACCUGGGCUUGAACUGUCAGUGACGCUUGGGGAAACCCAAGUUCCCUUCUGGGCGCUGUCAGAGGUGCUGCAUGGCUGUCGUCAGCUCGUGCCGUGAGGUGUCGGGUUAAGUCCCAUAACGAGCGCAACCCCUAUUGCUAGUUACCAGCACGUAAAGGUGGGGACUCUAGUGAGACUGCCACCGUCCGGUGAGAGGAAGGCGGGGAUGACGUCAAGUCAGCACGGCCCUUAUGUCCAGGGCUACACACGUGUUACAAUGGCCGGUACAACGGGCAGCCAAGGGGCGACCCUGCGCCAAUCCCCAAAGCCGGCCUUAGUUCGGAUCGCAGUCUGCAACCCGACUGCGUGAAG